rnacentral:rRNA from 1 species
AGUCGAACGAGAAAGUGGAGCAAUCCAUGAGUACAGUGGCGUACGGGUGAGUAACACGUGACUAACCUACCCUCGAGUGGGGAAUAACUUCGGGAAACCGAGGCUAAUACCGCAUAACAUCUACGGAUCAAAUGCGCAAGCAGCUUGAGGAGGGGGUCGCGGCUGAUUAGCUAGUUGGCGGGGUAACGGCCCACCAAGGCAAUGAUCAGUAGCCGGCCUGAGAGGGCGCACGGCCACACUGGAACUGAAACACGGUCCAGACUCCUACGGGAGGCAGCAGUGGGGAAUUUUGCGCAAUGGGGGAAACCCUGACGCAGCAACGCCGCGUGGAGGAUGAAGCCCCUUGGGGUGUAAACUCCUUUCGAUCGGGACGAUUAUGACGGUACCGGAUGAAGAAGCACCGGCUAACUCUGUGC